rnacentral:lncRNA from 1 species
UUGCAACUAAACUAUCUGAAAAGUUCCUUAUACUCCUUAUCAACUUUUUAGUAUAUGCUUUGGUUGGAAUUAUCCCUGGUGCACUGAUAUUGGCACGUCUUUAGCAUGUCGGUGCGACCUUUAUGAGCGCACAAAAAAGAAAAGAAAAGAAAAAGAUUUAGCGGAGUUUAUCCAGUUCUCUUUGUAUCUGUAAUCAGAGCAUUCACAUAUGACAGUGUAUAUUGUGGAGGCUGAUUAGGACAUUGGGAGAGUAUGGUGGUUGUUAAUUGGACAAAUAAAAAGAGAUAUGCCUUUGGCUGUG